GCCUUGCGCUAUCAGAUGAGCCUAGGUCGGAUUAGCUAGUUGGUGAGGUAAUGGCUCACCAAGGCGACGAUCCGUAACUGGUCUGAGAGGAUGAUCAGUCACACUGGAACUGAGACACGGUCCAGACUCCUACGGGAGGCAGCAGUGGGGAAUAUUGGACAAUGGGCGAAAGCCUGAUCCAGCCAUGCCGCGUGUGUGAAGAAGGUCUUCGGAUUGUAAAGCACUUUAAGUUGGAGGAAGGGCAGUUCCUAAUAC
rnacentral:rRNA from 1 species